rnacentral:rRNA from 1 species
AAACCAACAGGGAUUGCCCUAGUAACGGCGAGUGAAGCGGCAACAGCUCAAAUUUGAAAUCUGGCCUUCGGGUCCGAGUUGUAAUUUGUAGAGGAUGCUUUUGGCGCGGUGCCUUCCGAGUUCCCUGGAACGGGACGCCUUAGAGGGUGAGAGCCCCGUACGGUUGGACACCAAGCCUCUGUAAAGCUCCUUCGACGAGUCGAGUAGUUUGGGAAUGCUGCUCUAAAUGGGAGGUAAAUUUCUUCUAAAGCUAAAUAUUGGCCAGAGACCGAUAGCGCACAAGUAGAGUGAUCGAAAGAUGAAAAGCACUUUGAAAAGAGGGUUAAAUAGCACGUGAAAUUGUUGAAAGGGAAGCGUUUGCGACCAGACUUUUCCCUAGCGGAUCAUCCGGUGUUCUCACCGGUGCACUUCGCUAGGUUAAGGCCAGCAUCGGUUUCUGUAGGGGGAUAAAAGCUUGGGGAAUGUAGCUCCCUCGGGAGUGUUAUAGCCUCUUGUAUAAUACCCUUACGGGGACCGAGGACCGCGCUUUUGCAAGGAUGCUGGCGUAAUGGUUGUCAACGAC